rnacentral:rRNA from 1 species
UACGAAGGGUGCUAGCGUUGUUCGGAAUCACUGGGCGUAAAGCGCGCGUAGGCUGUUUUGCAAGUCAGAGGUGAAAUCCUGGAGCUCAACUCCAGAACUGCCUUUGAAACUGCAAGACUUGAGUGUCGGAGGGGAUAGCGGAAUUGCUAAUGUAGAGGUGAAAUUCGUAGAUAUUAGCAGGAACACCGGUGGCGAAGGCGGCUAUCUGGACGACAACUGACGCUGAGGCGCGAAAGCGUGGGGAUCAAACAGG